CGUAAAUUAAAAGGUGAACAUAAGUGUAUUCGUAAAGUAAAUGAAAAAACUUAAGUAACAUCAACUAGCAUUAAAACUUGGUUAAAAUUAAGUAAACCUAACAUAAAAUUGUACGUAUUUGUGAGCUGCGUGAUAUGCAAAUAUUCUAUCCAGCCAAUGAGCGAAGCUGGAGCCAUUUUGAAGCGUGAUGUGGUGAAGUCAGCGAGUACUCUGUCAGUGGGGUGUAUUCCUUAACCGGAAGCGCAACACAACAUUUUCUGAAGUUCGAUGUGGUGAAGACGGAGAUAAGAGUGGGGUGUAUUCGUAAACUGGAAGCACAACGCAACGUUUUCUGAAGCGCAAUGUGGUGACGAUGGUGAAAGGAGUGCAAACAUUUGUGGUGCAACAACAGAAGGAUAUGGUGCAUCCUGUUUUUGGAGUCCAAUGCUGUCUGCGGAAAUACACAGAGAAGUUGAUUCAGUGUUUAAUGGUGUACAUCUCUGACAAUGCUGAUAAUCUCAUCAGGCAUUACCAGGAUAGCCAUGGUGACCUAAAGGAACUGGAACAGCACACACACUGAGGAUUAUCACAAAGGUGGCUUCAUGGACGAUCCUUUAGAGACUGUAACUUUCUUUUGGUCAAAUUGUCACUUUUUUCAGAAGUACUACAGUCAUGAUUUUUGGUUUUAGACUAUUUAAGUUGCUGUUUCCAGAGUAGUAUUGCAAUCUCUGUCAGAAAAACUAAAAUGCUUUAUUUUUGUACUGAUUUUACUAAUUGUACUAAUUGUGUGAAAACCUUUUGUUGAAAUGCUGUCCAAAAAUGAAGUAAAAUGCUGUUUUGUGUUUAUUGUAUGUUUUGCACUUAUUUUAAGACAUUGAAUGUUCUAGAGCAGUACAGUAAGUUUUAAUCA